CCGACCUUAGCUCAGUUGGAAGAGCGUCAGACUGUAACAGGAUAAACUUGAUCUUCGAGUAAUAUGCACAAGGUGAUCUGAAUGUCGCCUGUUCGAACCAGGCAGGUCGGA